rnacentral:rRNA from 1 species
CAGCAGCCGCGGUAAUACCGGCGGCCCGAGUGGCGGUCACUAUUUUUGGGCUUAAAGCGUCCGUAGCCGGCCCGGUAAGGCCCUCCUUAAAGCCCACGGCUCAACCGUGGGAGCGGAGGGAUACUGCCGGGCUAGGGGGCGGGAGAGGCCGGGGGGACUCCUGGGGUAGGGGCGGAAUCCUAUAAUCCCAGGAGGACCACCAGUGGCGAAGGCGCCCGGCUAGCACGCGCCCGACGGUGAGGGACGAAAGCUGGGGGAGCAAAGGGGAUUAGAUACCCCCGUAGUCCCAGCUGUAAACGAUGCAGGCUAGGUGUUAGGCGGGCUUCGUGCCCGCCUAGUGCCGUAGGGAAGCCGUUAAGCCUGCCGCCUGGGGAGUACGGCCGCAAGGCUGAAACUUAAAGGAAUUGGCGGG